rnacentral:hammerhead_ribozyme from 1 species
AUCUAGCUGACGAGUUCCAAAUAGAACGAAACGCGUGUCAAACUGGAU